UACGUAGGUGGCAAGCGUUGUCCGGAAUUACUGGGCGUAAAGCGCACGUAGGCGGAUAUUUAAGUCAGGGGUGAAAUCCCGGGGCUCAACCCCGGAACUGCCUUUGAUACUGGGUAUCUCGAGUCCGAGAGAGGUGAGUGGAAUUCCGAGUGUAGAGGUGAAAUUCGUAGAUAUUCGGAGGAACACCAGUGGCGAAGGCGGCUCACUGGCUCGGUACUGACGCUGAGGUGCGAAAGCGUGGGGAGCAAACAGG
rnacentral:rRNA from 1 species